rnacentral:rRNA from 1 species
GACGAACGCUGGCGGCGUGCUUAACACAUGCAAGUCGAACGGAAAGGCCCUGCUUUUGUGGGGUGCUCGAGUGGCGAACGGGUGAGUAACACGUGAGUAACCUGCCCUUGACUUUGGGAUAACUUCAGGAAACUGGGGCUAAUACCGGAUAGGAGCUCCUGCUGCAUGGUGGGGGUUGGAAAGUUUCGGCGGUUGGGGAUGGACUCGCGGCUUAUCAGCUUGUUGGUGGGGUAGUGGCUUACCAAGGCUUUGACGGGUAGCCGGCCUGAGAGGGUGACCGGCCACAUUGGGACUGAGAUACGGCCCAGACUCCUACGGGAGGCAGCAGUGGGGAAUAUUGCACAAUGGGCGGAAGCCUGAUGCAGCAACGCCGCGUGCGGGAUGACGGCCUUCGGGUUGUAAACCGCUUUCGCCUGUGACGAAGCGUGAGUGACGGUAAUGGGUAAAGAAGCACCGGCUAACUACGUGCCAGCAGCCGCGGUGAUACGUAGGGUGCGAGCGUUGUCCGGAUUUAUUGGGCGUAAAGGGCUCGUAGGUGGUUGAUCGCGUCGGAAGUGUAAUCUUGGGGCUUAACCCUGAGCGUGCUUUCGAUACGGGUUGACUUGAGGAAGGUAGGGGAGAAUGGAAUUCCUGGUGGAGCGGUGGAAUGCGCAGAUAUCAGGAGGAACACCAGUGGCGAAGGCGGUUCUCUGGGCCUUUCCUGACGCUGAGGAGCGAAAGCGUGGGGAGCGAACAGGCUUAGAUACCCUGGUAGCCCACGCUGUAAACGGUGGGUACUAGGUGUGGGGUCCAUUCCACGGGUUCCGUGCCGUAGCUAACGCUUUAAGUACCCCGCCUGGGGAGUACGGCCGCAAGGCUAAAACUCAAAGGAAUUGACGGGGCCCCGCACAAGCGGCGGAGCAUGCGGAUUAAUUCGAUGCAACGCGUAGAACCUUACCUGGGUUUGACAUGGAUCGGGAGCGCUCAGAGAUGGGUGUGCCUCUUUUGGGGUCGGUUCACAGGUGGUGCAUGGCUGUCGUCAGCUCGUGUCGUGAGAUGUUGGGUUAAGUCCCGCAACGAGCGCAACCCUUGUUCACUGUUGCCAGCACGUUAUGGUGGGGACUCAGUGGAGACCGCCGGGGUCAACUCGGAGGAAGGUGGGGAUGACGUCAAGUCAUCAUGCCCCUUAUGUCCAGGGCUUCACGCAUGCUACAAUGGCUGGUACAGAGAGUGGCGAGCCUGUGAGGGUGAGCGAAUCUCGGAAAGCCGGUCUCAGUUCGGAUUGGGGUCUGCAACUCGACCUCAUGAAGUCGGAGUCGCUAGUAAUCGCAGAUCAGCAACGCUGCGGUGAAUACGUUCCCGGG